rnacentral:lncRNA from 1 species
AAACACUUGUGCUCAGUUCUUGAUCCUAUUAAGUUCGCCGGAGCUCGCCGGAUUGUGGUGCUACAUCCGCCGAGACGUAGUCGUUUUACCUUUGGGGAAGAUACGCCAAACCGAAGAGCACUACCGGGGCGAUAAUCUUCUUGCGGGAAGAGUUUCAUCUCGACUCGACUUUGUUUAUACGUAUAAUUUAUUUAUACAGUGUAUUUCAGUUGUAUCAAAUUAUUUGAGUUGUAAUUUCUCAAAUUAUUUACUUUGUAAUAUUU